UCCUGCAGGACGUGGACACCAUCUAUCUCACUCAGGACACCAGAGAGCUCAACCUGCAGGACUUCGUCCACCUGGAGAACAGAGAUUUGGUGGCGAUCAUCGCGGCUCUGGAGUUUAACCAGUGGUUCACCAAACUCUCCACCAAAGACUACAAACUGUCGACAGAUGUGUGUGAGCAGAUCUUAAAAGUUGUGGCUCGAUCCAGCCGGCUGGAGGAGCUGGUGCUGGACAACGCCGGACUGAGAAG